ensembl:rRNA 5S_rRNA 5S ribosomal RNA
GUCUAUGGCCAUACUACCCUGAACGUUGAUCUCAGAAGCUAAACAUAGUCCAGCCAGGUUAGUACUUGGAUGGGGGACAACUUGGAAAUACUGGGUGCUGUAGGUU